rnacentral:rRNA from 1 species
GAUGAACGCUAGCUACAGGCUUAACACAUGCAAGUCGAGGGGCAGCAUGGUCUUAGCUUGCUAAGGCCGAUGGCGACCGGCGCACGGGUGAGUAACACGUAUCCAACCUGCCGUCUACUCUUGGACAGCCUUCUGAAAGGAAGAUUAAUACAAGAUGGCAUCAUGAGUCCGCAUGUUCACAUGAUUAAAGGUAUUCCGGUAGACGAUGGGGAUGCGUUCCAUUAGAUAGUAGGCGGGGUAACGGCCCACCUAGUCUUCGAUGGAUAGGGGUUCUGAGAGGAAGGUCCCCCACAUUGGAACUGAGACACGGUCCAAACUCCUACGGGAGGCAGCAGUGAGGAAUAUUGGUCAAUGGGCGAGAGCCUGAACCAGCCAAGUAGCGUGAAGGAUGACUGCCCUAUGGGUUGUAAACUUCUUUUAGAAAGGAAUAAAGUCGGGUAUGGAUACCCGUUUGCAUGUACUUUAUGAAUAAGGAUCGGCUAACUCCGUG